UUGGUGGCGACCGGCGCACGGGUGAGUAACGCGUAUGCAACCCACCUAUCAGAGGGGAAUAACCCGGCGAAAGUCGGACUAAUACCGCAUAAAACAGGGACACCGCAUGGUGAUAUUUGUUAAAGAAAUUCGCUGAUAGAUGGGCAUGCGUUCCAUUAGGUAGUUGGUGAGGUAACGGCUCACCAAGCCGACGAUGGAUAGGGGAACUGAGAGGUUGGUCCCCCACACUGGUACUGAGACACGGACCAGACUCCUACGGGAGGCAGCAGUGAGGAAUAUUGGUCAAUGGGCGAGAGCCUGAACCAGCCAAGUCGCGUGAAGGAAGAAGGAUCUAUGGUUCGUAAACUUCUUUUGCAGGGGAAUAAAGUGCAGGACGUGUCCUGCUUUGUAUGUACCCUGAGAAUAAGGAUCGGCUAACUCCGUGCCAGCAGCCGCGGUAAUACGGAGGAUCCGAGCGUUAUCCGGAUUUAUUGGGUUUAAAGGGUGCGUAGGUGGUUUGAUAAGUCAGCGGUGAAAGUUUGCAGCUUAACUGUAAAAAUGCCGUUGAAACUGUCGGACUUGAGUGUAAAUGAGGUAGGCGGAAUGCGUGGUGUAGCGGUGAAAUGCUUAGAUAUCACGAAGAACUCCGAUCG
rnacentral:rRNA from 1 species